UCAAACUUGGUCAUUUAGAGGAAGUAAAAGUCGUAACAAGGUAACCGUAGGUGAACCUGCGGUUGGAUCAUUACAAAACUUGUUUUUUGAAUAGUUUCCUUUUAUCCGAAAUUGGGUGAAGGAGCUUUUCAAACAAACCUUGUGAACUUAUUAUCGUCUCUUGGUGGUUUUAUCGCCACCAGUAUUAUAUUUUAAACUUGUUUUUAUUAGUCUUAUAUUUUUUUUUUAUUUUCAAUAAAAAAACAACUUUUGACAACGGAUCUCUUGGCUCUCGCAUCGAUGAAGAACGCAGC
rnacentral:misc_RNA from 1 species